UUUUGGUCAGUGGCCAAGGUCCCCCAGGCUCGGGUGACGCUGACACACAAAGAAAGGUCUUCGGGGACACGCUGUGUUUUGCCACGGUCCUGGGCUCCCGCCGUGCCCCGAGCAGGUGGCUCAGGCCGGCAGCUGCUCAGGGGGGACUGGAGCUCAAAGACGCGCGGCCGCCGGAAGCCUGCGGCAGGGGUCUUGCUAGGUCUCCCGCCUGCCCUGCGGGGCACUCACUCAGGGCUUUAUAAAGGGGACUAAGGGGCUUGCUGAGAAUCAUGGUGCCCCUCCAGGCAUUUCACUGCGCUCCCGUCCCCUGGAGCUACUGACAUGGGGAGGACCUGACACCAGAGGAAGAGCAGGGAGCGGCCUCUCGGAGAGGACUGGUGCUGCGCUCUGUUGCUCGGGGAGCGCCGCGCGUGAGGCAUUAGCACAUUUGUUUAUUUUAAUGCCCACACAGUCCCCUAUUGAGGGUUAGAGAAAAGAUGUUUCAUUUUUCUUGUUUAAGACGGACUCUCAACUCCAGUUUUUCCAGCGCCAAGACGGCACUUUCUGCAGGCACUCACACCACACCACUCCAAGAGAGACCAUCUCCAAGAGGAAGAGGCUGAGUUUCAGACACAGCUUCAUUCUCACGGCAGAAGCUGAGAGACCGAGGAAGCAGGAACGGCUGUUAUCACGAGUCCCAGAAGAAACCGAGCCGCGGAAACAGAGCGGGAACAGCGCUGGGGAGGCACUAAUGGGAACGUCUGCUCGUGUGUGUAAUUGUCACCCACCAGUGGCAGCGGCUCGGCCCCCACCUUAAUUAACGCCGAAGCAGCCGGGCCUGCAGGUCUUUCUGCAGGGAUGCGGGAGAGGACAGGAGAGGCAGGAGAAGCACAGCCGAGCGCCCUAAUGGGCUCUUCACAGCCAGGCUGAUUGACUGUUGAGAAAAGAAGGAACGGCUUGUCCCGCCACGUGGCCUGUGCAGGUAAUCUGUGACAGCCGUGGGUCACACACCUCGUUGUCUGUCUGACAAGGAUGAGGAGCAGCUGUGGCAGGAACAAUCGCAGACCGGCUUGUUCAGACUGAACGGCGGGGCCCGCGCCUGGGCUUCGGGGCUGGGCAGAGAGGAGGCUCCUGCUCACGCGCCCGUGCAGCCCUCCCUGGGGGUGUCGAGUCCUGGCUGCAGCAGGACAGAAGCGCCAUGUCCUGAGAGCCGCCCUUAACCUCCUCCUGGGUGCCAAAGAAAACAUCCUGGACGAGGCAUUCCGCCAGCGUUCUCGUCCUGCUGGUCAGCAGGGCCAUCGCCAGCCUCUGCGCAGGUAAGUACAGGUGAACGCGCGUCCCUCAGACCAGAGCUCCCUGACACCUUCCUGCUGCUCCACUGUACUCAGUCCCCCGUCAUCACCAGCCCCUCCUCCACCGGCCCCCACAGCCUCCUCCCCACCUCCUGUUACACACCCCCACAGACAGGCCUCCCCUACACGCCCACACGCGAAGCGCACAGGGACGUUUCACAACGGGGUCCCAUGGCCUGGGGUCCCGGGGCCGAGUGAGCACUGCAGAGAUGGAAACGAGUCUGCGUGUCUGGAGAAAUCGCUCAUCUCUGGCAUAAUGGAUGCCCUCAGAUCA